rnacentral:snoRNA from 1 species
GUGCCUAAAAAGAACCCCAGUAAGCCAGGUGUGCUGGUGGAUGUGCUGGUCUGGGGACAGACGGUGCUACAGUACAGUAGAGAGGAUACCCCGAUGCCUCAUUUUCCAUUUGUCCUGGAGCCUGUCUCUACAGCUCUGCCACACUU